AGAGCGAACGCUGGCGGCAGGCUUAACACAUGCAAGUCGAACGGAUCCUUCGGGAUUAGUGGCGGACGGGUGAGUAACACGUGGGAACGUGCCUUUGGUUCGGAACAACUCAGGGAAACUUGAGCUAAUACCGGAUGUGCCCUUCGGGGAAAGAUUUAUCGCCAUUAGAGCGGCCCGCGUCUGAUUAGCUUGUUGGUGAGGUAAAGGCUCACCAAGGCUACGAUCAGUAGCUGGUCUGAGAGGAUGACCAGCCACAUUGGGACUGAGACACGGCCCAAACUCCUACGGGAGGCAGCAGUGGGGAAUCUUGCGCAAUGGGCGAAAGCCUGACGCAGCCAUGCCGCGUGAAUGAUGAAGGUCUUAGGAUUGUAAAAUUCUUUCACCGGGGACGAUAAUGACGGUACCCGGAGAAGAAGCCCCGGCUAACUUCGUGCCAGCAGCCGC
rnacentral:rRNA from 1 species